CCUACCUGGUUGAUCCUGCCAGUAGUCAUAUGCUUGUCUCAAAGAUUAAGCCAUGCAUGUCUAAGUACAAACAGGUCUUCGACCUCUGUGAUACCGCGGACGGCUCAUUAAAUCAGUCGUGGUCCAAAGGGGCCAGUACCCCAUCGUACAAUGGUAAUACUUGGAUAACUGUGGUAAUUCCAGAGCUAAUACAUGCAAUCACAUGCUCCGAAGGUGUGCGCCUCGCGCGUACACUGGACGGGCGCUUUUAUUAGACCAAACCGCCGGGAGAGGUGCUAACGUGCCUCUCUUCUCGCUGUGUGGUGACUCUGGAUAACUACAAGGGACUUAGUCCCUGUUGACGAGCGCACGUACCCCUCUUUGAGCGGGACGGCGCUGCCACUUUCGAGUGUCUGCCUUAUCAGCUGUCAAUCGUUCGUUAUGUGCGACCGAUGGCAUUGACGGGUAACGGGGAAUCAGGGUUCGAUUCCGGAGAGGCAGCCUGAGAAACGGCUACCACGUCCAAGGACGGCAGCAGGCACGCAAAUUACCCAAUCCCAGCACCUGGGGGAGGUAGUGACGAAACAUAACGAUGCGGGCGCCCUUUCUGGGGCUCCGCAAUCGGAAUGAGCAUUGUCCCAAAUAACCUGUUGAGAACCUACUGAAGGGCAAGUCUGGUGCCAGCAGCCGCGGUAAUUCCAGCUUCAGUAGCGUAUACUAAAGUUGCUGCGGUUAAAAGGCUCGCAGUUGAAUGUCAGUACAGAGCGACGGUCAGGUGGACGAUGGGGCGUGAGAGUUGUCACCGCCAGUGCUUGGCUCUCUCGUGUCGGGUGUGUGUGCGCGUCUUACGCCGCAUGUCUCUCUCUCGUGCAUUCAGCAGGUCACCUCGGUGCUCUCUGCGGUCUAAGGCGAUGGGAUAGCGGUAUUGUCUUGUGUACUCUAUACUCGCUCGGGUUCGUGUCUCGCCCGUGCAUUGGGUCUUGUGGCGCCUCGUGCGUUGCAAUUCUCUAUGGCUCUCACAAGCCUCCGUCCGUUACACGCCUCCUCGCUCGUGUGCACGGAACUUGAAAUGCCUCGGCGUGGUGCUGGUGUUCAUUCAUGCACGCAAGUGUGUGGGUGUUCGCCGCUACGGCCCGCGUCGCUGCGCAUCACGGUCACUUGUCACCCUGAGUAAAUCAGAGUGCUCAAAGCAGUCGUAAAGGGCCUUGUGCCCUGUGAGUCCUACACAGGACUGGCUUGGUUUUGCAUGGUAUGUCGGAAUACGACGUCGAGCGCUGGCUAAGGGAUGUGCGCGGUGCACCUUGUGUGUGUCGUGUGCGUACGGUGGUAUAAGCCAGCCUCGACGUAAUGAUUAAAAGGGUCGGUCGAGGGCAUUGGUAUUGCGAGGCGAGAGGUGAAAUUCUAUGACCCCCGCAAGACCCCCUGAAGCGAAAGCGUCUGCCAAGGACGUUUUCAUUAAUCAUGAACGAAAGUUAGAGGAUCGAAGGCGAUCAGAUACCGCCCUAGUUCUGACCCUAAACGAUGCCAACCACCAAUCCGCGCGUAGCACCCUCUUUAGCGGGCUCGGCGGGCAGCUCCUUUUCACGGGAAACCAGAGUCUUUGGGUUCCGGGGGGAGUCUGGUUGCAAAGCUGAAACUUAAAGGAAUUGACGGAAAGGCACCACCAGGAGUGGAGCCUGCGGCUUAAUUUGACUCAACACGGGCCAUCUCACCAGGCCAGCACUCUAGUAUGAUUGACAGAUUGAGAGCUCUUUCUCGAUUCAGAGGAUGGUGGUGCAUGGCCCGUUCUUAGUUGGUGGAGUGAUCUGUCUGGUUAAUUCCGAUAACGAACGAGACUCUCCCCUGCUAACUAGUCGGUAGGAUCUUCCCCGCAUAUGUUUAUCGAUGCGAGUGGUGCUUCCGGUUCAGCUCGUGAGUAAGUGGUCGUGUGCGUACUCUCGUCGUUGGGUGUGCAUCUGCCCUCGUGGUGGGUGUGUGCUCGCGGUGUGUUGUCCGCUGCGUUCGCCAAAGCGGGUCCCGGUUGUGUACACUCGAAGUCCUCCGCCAUUGUGUUUUGAUCUUCUUAGAGGGAUUCAUGGCUCUGAAGCCAUAAGAGACUGAGAGCAAUAACAGGUCUGUGAUGCCCUUAGAUGCCCUGGGCCGCACGCGCGCUACAAUGCCGGACGCAGCAGGCGUUUUCCCUUCUCCGAGAGGAGCGGGGCAACCCUCUGAAAGUCCUCUUUCGAUUAUGCAUAUCUCUUUACGUGGGGCGUUCUUUCGGGGGCGCUCCACACGGCGUGAUAGGGCCUGGGGCUUGCAAUUCUUUCCCACAAACGAGGAAUGCCUAGUAGCGGCGAGUCACUGAGCUUGCUACGGGUUAGUCCCUGCCCUUUGUACACACCGCCCGUCGCUACUACCGAUUGGGUGUACCAGUGAGAGCCUUGGACUGGCGUCCUCUUCUUUCCUCACGGAUUAGAAGGUGGGUCUGACGGGAAGAGGUCCGAACUGGUGCACCUAGAGGAAGUAAAAGUCGUAACAAGGUUUCCGUAGGUGAACCUGCGGAAGGAUCAUUA
rnacentral:rRNA from 1 species